AAUGCCGGAUGCUCCAUCACACCGCAUGGUGUGUUGGGAAAGCCUUUGCGGCAUGGGAUGGGGUCGCGUCCUAUCAGCUUGAUGGCGGGGUAACGGCCCACCAUGGCUUCGACGGGUAGCCGGCCUGAGAGGGCGACCGGCCACAUUGGGACUGAGAUACGGCCCAGACUCCUACGGGAGGCAGCAGUGGGGAAUAUUGCACAAUGGGCGCAAGCCUGAUGCAGCGACGCCGCGUGAGGGAUGGAGGCCUUCGGGUUGUAAACCUCUUUUGUUAGGGAGCAAGGCAUUUUGUGUUGAGUGUACCUUUCGAAUAAGCACCGGCUAACUACGUGCCAGCAGCCGCGGUAAUACGUAGGGUGCAAGCGUUAUCCGGAAUUAUUGGGCGUAAAGGGCUCGUAGGCGGUUCGUCGCGUCCGGUGUGAAAGUCCAUCGCUUAACGGUGGAUCCGCGCCGGGUACGGGCGGGCUUGAGUGCGGUAGGGGAGACUGGAAUUCCCGGUGUAACGGUGGAAUGUGUAGAUA
rnacentral:rRNA from 1 species